UUGUAAAGCUGCUUGUGGCAACCUCCUAGUGAUGAUCCACUCUAUCAGCUCUUCCCUCAUGCUGCUACUGCUGUGGAAACAUGCUGUGGCAAAAGCUGCAGUGAAGAGCAAACGACGCUUCUGAUCAUGAGCCGAGGCUCACCGCAAAGGCAGGUUGAGUGAUGAAGGCGAGGAUCAGAGGAGUGCGAGAGGCAGAUGAGCAGAAGCAAGAGCUGCAAAAUGGUGUCUCUUCAUAGCGAAAGCUAGCAAGAGCCAUGCUUGGCAUGAGCCUUGUCAGUGGAGAUCAAAGUUGUCACACGAUAAUGACAGUAUUUCUCUUUUAAAAAUUCCGAUAUAUUCUGUGCUAUUUGUGUAGCCAGCUGAGACAAUAAAGCUUCAUUAGCGAAUGAA